UACGAGGGGGGCGAGCGUUGUUCGGAAUUAUUGGGCGUAAAGGGUGCGUAGGCGGUUUGGUAAGUCUGAUGUGAAAUCUAUGGGCUCAACUCAUAGUCUGCAUCGGAAACUGCCGGGCUUGAGUAUGGGAGAGGUGAGUGGAAUUCCUGGAGUAGCGGUGAAAUGCGUAGAUAUCAGGAGGAACACCUGUGGCGAAAGCGGCUCACUGGACCAUAACUGACGCUGAUGCACGAAAGCUAGGGGAGCAAACAGG
rnacentral:rRNA from 1 species